rnacentral:lncRNA from 1 species
ACUCUUCUUCAGUAUAUGAUUCUUCUUUUUCUUGUUUCCUCCUCCGGUUAUCGCGUUCCAUGUCGCCUCCAAUGAGUCAUCCUCUUCCUCUAAUUCUUCAAUAUUUUCUUGAUUGCUCAUUUCUUGGUGAUUGGUGUAGGUUGUUGUGUAGUUGGUUUUUAUAGUUGGUUGAAGUUCUGGUUUUGUUGAACGUGGACUAAUGAUUUCACGGGCUUGAGUCAAAUGAGAAAUGUCUGGAAAUGACAUUUUUUGUACACAAUCAAUUUCAAUGUCUUUCACACUGCAGGGAAUCUCAUCUUUAAUUCUUCAAUAUUUUCUUGAUUGCUCAUUUCUUGGUGAUUGGUGUAGGUUGUUGUAUAGUUGGUUUUUAUAGUUGGUUGAGCUACUGGUUUUGUUGAACGUGGACUAUUGAUUUCACGGGCUUGACUCAAAUGAGAAAUAUCUGGAAAUGACAUUUUUUGUACACAAUCAAUUUCAAUGUCUUUCACACUACACGGCAUCUCAUCUUCAAUAUCUUCUAAUACAGGAUGUGAAUUAUUAUAUCGACUGAAAAAAGACAUAACUGUGUCCAUUGCAAUAGCAGAAUUAGUUCUUUUCGGCAUGUCCAUUUUUUCAUGAUCUUUUGGCUUUGCUGCUGGUGACUCAUGACCUCGAACCUCCAUAUUUUCUUCAACAGUAUCCUUCUCAUCUAG